AAUCAUGCUCAGAUUGAACGCUGGCGGCAGGCCUAACACAUGCAAGUCGAGCGGAUGAAGAGAGCUUGCUCUCUGAUUCAGCGGCGGACGGGUGAGUAAUGCCUAGGAAUCUGCCUGAUAGUGGGGGACAACGUUUCGAAAGGAACGCUAAUACCGCAUACGUCCUACGGGAGAAAGCAGGGGACCUUCGGGCCUUGCGCUAUCAGAUGAGCCUAGAUCGGAUUAG
rnacentral:rRNA from 1 species